CGGAGGGUGCAAGCGUUAUCCGGAUUCACUGGGUUUAAAGGGUGCGUAGGUGGGCAAGUAAGUCAGUGGUGAAAUCUCCGGGCUUAACCCGGAAACUGCCAUUGAUACUAUUUGUCUUGAAUACUGUGGAGGUCAGCGGAAUAUGUCAUGUAGCGGUGAAAUGCUUAGAUAUGACAUAGAACACCAAUUGCGAAGGCAGCUGGCUACACAAAUGUUGACACUGAGGCACGAAAGCGUGGGGAUCAAACAGGAUUAGAUACCCUGGUAGUCCACGCCCUAAACUAUGGAUACUCGACAUUUGCGAUAAACUGCAAGUGUCUGAGCGAAAGCAUUAAGUAUCCCACCUGGGAAGUACGAUCGCAAGAUUG
rnacentral:rRNA from 1 species